GCACAGCUGAACACAUUAAUUAUAAAGACAUCAUUUGUUAACAAUGUGCCACUGGGAUAUUUACAAAUCCAUUGAUCUGUGAGGCAUUGAGGGGGAAGAAAAGGUUUAAGAAGAAAUCAGGAGGAAGAAAAAGCACCAAGGAGAGCUGCAGCACUUGAAAGGAUGUGUCUGAAGGCUGAAUGGUUCCUCCUCAGGAAAAAAGCAGAAACAUCUCCCGAGUUAUCUGCAGGAGUCAGGAGUGUCGUGUUCUGCUCAGAAACACCGCCUUCAAAGCUGUGAAGCCAUUGAGCACCGCUUGGGAUGUGCAGUGAAAGCUCUUCCACAAGAGUUGCACUGGAAAAGCCUUAGCAGGAGAAAACACAUGCCUGCCUCAGGGGUUACAAGACAAAUCAAUCUAUUUUUCUCCUUUCCUCCAAGGUUGGAAUCCUCAGCUGAGAGGUAAACUUAUAAAGGUGGGAAAAUAAAAAGAAGAUGAAGAGGAACGAUUGCAUCAGUUCAAAUCCCCUCCAAUAACAAGCAGCACUGUGACCAGCAUUUGAGGCUGGAAUUUACUGAAACCUGCUAUGAAUAGCUGUCAUUUUCCUAGGCAGUAUUUUUUUUAUUCUUGAUUGUGAUAAAAUUUUCUCGAAUUUUUGUGACAGCCUGUACUGCUGGCAUUCAUGGAGAUUUAUCACAGAAUUUAGUCAGACUGAGGAGUUAUAAUUAUUGCUUCAUUUCCCAUAAAAUCUCACAAAGUAAUACUGAUUUUUACCUCAUUCUUCUGAAAUUGCCUUUUUCAAGGAGCAAUCAUGGCUGUGAAUAUUCCUAGAAUCCUUCUGCUGUUCUGUACAUAUAAUCACCUGCAGACUCACUUUCAGCCUUUGAAUACUGGUAAAUUGUAUACAGUGCAUUUAAAUUGGCUAAUAAA